rnacentral:misc_RNA from 2 species
AACGCACAUUGCGCCUCCUGGUAUUCCGGGAGGCAUGCCUGUUCGAGCGUCAUUAAAAUCACUCAAGCUUAGGUUUACCUAUUGCUUGGUCUUGGAGAUGGAAGCCAAUUUAUUGGAAUCCUCUUCGAAAUUCAAUGGCGAAGACCCUUGCUCUCCCAAGUGUAGUAAUAACUUAUGUCACUGAAGGAAGCGAGAAAUCUUCUGCCGUAACCCCCAUAUUUUCUAUGAUUGACCUCGGAUCAGGUAGGGAUACCCGCUGAACUUAA